ACACUUAAGAUGUCUGAAAUAGAUAUCUAAAAUUGUAAAGUGUGGAUGCAACAAACAAACCUAUAAUACAGGAACACUCACCCGUAUUCCUGGACUGGCUACAGCUUCGUGUCAAUAUCUGCUGGGCAGCUGCUCUGAGAAUAACAAUGGCAUGAUGAGGUGGAAACUAAGUUUUUCCAAGUAAUACUUCGGCCCCAGUCACACUAGCGAGAAAAGCCAU